AGAGUUUGAUCCUGGCUCAGGAUAAACGCUGGCGGCGCACAUAAGACAUGCAAGUCGAACGGACUUAACCAUUAGUUUACUAUUGGAGCGGUUAGUGGCGGACUGGUGAGUAACACGUAAGCAACCUGCCUAUCAGAGGGGAACAACAGUUAGAAAUGACUGCUAAUACCGCAUAUGCCUUAAUUACCACAUGGUAGUAGAGGGAAAGGAGCAAUCCGCUGAUAGAUGGGCUUGCGUCUGAUUAGAUAGUUGGUAAGGUAACGGCUUACCAAGUCGACGAUCAGUAGCCGGACUGAGAGGUUGAACGGCCACAUUGGGACUGAGAUACGGCCCAGACUCCUACGGGAGGCAGCAGUCGGGAAUAUUGCGCAAUGGAGGAAACUCUGACGCAGUGACGCCGCGUGCAGGAAGAAGGUUUUCGGAUUGUAAACUGCUCUAGACAGGGAAGAAACAAGACAGUACCUGUAGAAUAAGCUCCGGCUAACUACGUGCCAGCAGCCGCGGUAAUACGUAGGGAGCAAGCGUUAUCCGGAUUUAUUGGGUGUAAAGGGUGCGUAGACGGGAAUGCAAGUUGGUUGUGAAAUCCCUCGGCUCAACCGAGGAAUUGCAACCAAAACUAUAUUUCUUGAGUGCUGGAGAGGAAAGUGGAGUUCCUAGUGUAGCGGUGAAAUGCGUAGAUAUUAGGAGGAACACCAGUGGCGAAGGCGACUUUCUGGACAGUAACUGACGUUGAGGCACGAAAGUGUGGGGAGCAAACAGGAUUAGAUACCCUGGUAGUCCACACCGUAAACGAUGGAUACUAGGUGUAGGGGAUGAAUAAUCUUCUGUGCCGUCGCAAACGCAGUAAGUAUCCCACCUGGGGAGUACGGCCGCAAGGUUGAAACUCAAAGGAAUUGACGGGGGCCCGCACAAGCAGUGGAGUAUGUGGUUUAAUUCGACGCAACGCGAAGAACCUUACCAGGGCUUGACAUAUACAUGAAAAUCUAAGAGAUUAGAUCCCUCUUCGGAGCAUGUAUACAGGUGGUGCAUGGUUGUCGUCAGCUCGUGUCGUGAGAUGUUGGGUUAAGUCCCGCAACGAGCGCAACCCCUGUUCUUAGUUGCCAGCAUGUAAAGAUGGGAACUCUAAGAAGACUGCCGGUGAUAAAUCGGAGGAAGGUGGGGACGACGUCAAAUCAUCAUGCCCUUUAUGUCCUGGGCUACACACGUACUACAAUGGCUGUAACAAAGGGAAGCGAACCCGCGAGGAGGAGCAAAACCCAUAAAAGCAGUCUCAGUUCGGAUUGAAGGCUGAAAUUCGCCUUCAUGAAGCCGGAAUUGCUAGUAAUGGCAGGUCAGCGUACUGCCGUGAAUACGUUCCCGGGCCUUGUACACACCGCCCGUCACACCAUGAGAGUUGGGGAUACCCGAAGCCUGUGAGCUAACUGUAAAGAGGCAGCAGUCGAAGGUAGAAUCAAUGAUUGGGGUGAAGUCGUAACAAGGUAGCA
rnacentral:rRNA from 1 species